CGGAGUUCAGUCUUCCCAGGCCCACCACUUUCAUCGAGUGAGCAUUCGUCUUCUGGUUACGGGGCCAUAGCUCAGCUGGGAGAGCGCGUGCUUUGCAAGCAUGAGGUCGUCGGUUCGAUCCCGUCUGGCUCCACCAGAUGGUUUGAUCACCGAGAUCUUGACCGUCGUCCGCGAAACAUCACUUCGCAUCCUGCUAGUCUGGAUAGACAGCAGUUUGCGUGUUUUCUGACAUCGUAAAGAGGAGAUCGAUCCGAGUUGGGUCGUGCAGCAUAUCGUUGCGCGAGCCUUCAUUAUCUCCGGAUCAUUUCGGCGCUCGCUUCCAGCCGUGAGGUUGGAUGCGGGUUGUAAAUGAUCCUUUUAGCGAAGCUUGACCGCCUCGCUAUCGGAACGAUCUUACGAAGCAAGCUGGUCUUUCUAGUCAAUGUCCGGCUGCGGAUAGCGUUCAUCGAGGGCGCGUGCCGCAAGGCAAUUCUGCAGACAACAUUCUGCCGAGUGUGUGGACAUUGAUAAUGAGAGCAAUCAAGUGCCUUAAGGGUGUUCGGUGGAUGCCUUGGCGCUGAGAGGCGAUGAAGGACGUGCUACGCUGCGAUAAGCCGUGGGGAGCUGCGAAGAAGCUUUGAUCCGCGGAUUUCCGAGG
rnacentral:misc_RNA from 1 species